rnacentral:lncRNA from 1 species
AGGGGAUAAGGAGAAUGAUUUUUUUUUAAAUAGCAUAUUGAGUUAAAGUCCGUUUUAUUUAUAAGUAUCUAAAUUCUUUUACUUUAUAUUUGAUCUAACAACAAUGAGUAUUUGAAAAAUCAAACGGAUAUAUAUUAUAUACUAGGAUCGGCCCGCCCUACGGGCGGGAUUUAUAUAUUUGUGUUAUGAUAAUUUGUUUUGUUGGUUUUGGGAUUUUAAAUAUAUGGUUGUUUAUGUAUAUGGUACAUAAACUUUUUCGGGGUUUUUGUCUUUUUUUUAACUAAUGACUCUAGGAGAGUGGUUUUGCGUUUAUGGUGUCUUUUUUUAAAGAAAAGUAGUUUAUAUAUUGUAUUUUGAUGUAUUAAUGUACUUAGAUAUCUGAUGUGUUGGAUUUAAUAUUGUCACUAUAUUGAAACGUUUAGAUGUUAUGGUUUAGGAGGGUUGUAUUAUGUUUGUGUGUUGCUAUUGAAACGCAUUUGUUGUAUAUGAAUCAUAUGAUUGAGUUACGUGGAAUUUUUUGUUGCUAUGAAAUUAUAGUUGAAUAAUAUAUUAUAAUUUUAAAUAAUAUAUUUUUUGAUGGUAAAUACUAACAAUUUUUUAAAUGAUAUGUAUCUGUAAAGAAAGUUUUUAUUUUAGAAUAUAAUAAAAUGUGAAACUAUAUAUUUAUAUAUAUAUUAUUGUUCUAUGUUUAAAUUAACACUCAAUUUACUCUUUAUAUUGUUGGAUCGGAAGUUAUUAUAAUAUAAUUCAUGUGGUGCAUCUAAUAUCGUUUUAGUAUAUCACUACUCAUAGAUUAAAUAUUUAGGAAACUAAAUCUUAAAAAUUUAUUGACUAUAGACGUGAACCUUCUUUUAGUUAACACUAGGGUCGGCCCGCCCUACGGGCGGAAUAUACCUUACUUGUGAUUUAUGUUAUUAUUUUUUAUAUAAUU